ACCCAAUUCGCACGUGCCUGUGGCCGCGUGCUGGUCGGUGGGCAUCCGGACAAGAGGCCGGACAGCCGCCAGGGGAUUGGAAGACGGAUGGAGGGGAUGGACAUCCCUCAAAUCACGCUUCCCGGAUCUCGCAAGAGAGCCGUUCCCCGACACAGACCGGCAGCCGGAGGCAAAACCGGCGAACCCCGAAUCUCCACGGGGGACGCAGCUUAAAGCAACGACGGAGCGGGCUUUU
rnacentral:sRNA from 1 species